rnacentral:rRNA from 1 species
CAGCAGCCGCGGUAACACGGAGGGUGCAAGCGUUAAUCGGAAUUACUGGGCGUAAAGCGCACGCAGGCGGUCUGACAAGUCAGAUGUGAAAUCCCCGGGCUUAACCUGGGAACUGCAUUUGAAACUGUCAGGCUGGAGUCUUGUAGAGGGGGGUGGAAUUCCAGGUGUAGCGGUGAAAUGCGUAGAGAUCUGGAGGAAUACCGGUGGCGAAGGCGGCCCCCUGGACAAAGACUGACGCUCAGGUGCGAAAGCGUGGGGAGCAAACAGGAUUAGAUACCCGAGUAGUCCCUGUCUCUUAUAC